rnacentral:rRNA from 1 species
UACAGAGGGGGGCGAGCGUUGUUCGGAAUUACUGGGCGUAAAGAGCUCGUAGGCGGUCUGUCGCGUCGGCUGUGAAAUCCCGAGGCUCAACCUCGGGUCUGCAGUCGAUACGGGCAAACUAGAGUAUUGCAGGGGAGACUGGAAUUCCUGGUGUAGCGGUGAAAUGCGCAGAUAUCAGGAGGAACACCGGUGGCGAAGGCGGGGUCUCUGGGCAAUAACUGACGCUGAGGAGCGAAAGCGUGGGGAGCGAACAGG